rnacentral:lncRNA from 1 species
CUGGAGUCUGUGUGGUGUUUGUGAUAAUCGUCAGAUAACCAAACCAACUAUAGUCUGGUGUUCUGAAUGUGACGAAGGACUUUGCGGAGAUUGUAAUGCACAUCACAGUAUUUCUAGGGGAACAAGAAAACAUGAAACCGUUUCCAUCGCUGAGUACAAGAAAUUACCGACCGAAGUCCUGCAAAUCGCUCAAAUCUUCAAACUACAUAAUGAAAAAUACGAGCUUUUCUGUAGAAAACAUGACUGUCCGUGCUGUAAGAAAUGUGUGAAAUCUCACAACGAUUGUAAGGGUUUAACCGAUAUGAAUGAACUCAUUAAAAAUGUAAAAACUUCAAACGCCUUUUAUGAAAUCGAACAAACCCUGCUUGAAGUCACCGAGAAUGUUAAACGACUCAGCGAUAACCGGAAAGAAAAUUUGAACUCGCUUCGAGAUAAGAAAAGAGUUAUUGAAGCCGAAAUAAAACGAACCAGAACCAAAAUAAACGAUCACCUUGAUAAACUUCAGGAUGAUUUUAUGAAAGAAUUAAUGGCAGUUGAACAAAAAGAGAGCAGCAAAAUACAAAAAAUGUUGACUACCCUGAAAAAGAACGAAAAAGAAAUCAGUGAAGUACAAGACAGCAUUGCUAGUAUUAAACAGCAUGCGACCGAACUUCAAACAUUUUUAACCAUGAAAGAUAUCGAAAAAAAUAUUGCAGUAAGACAAAAAUUCAUUCAAUCGAUCACCACAAGUGACACUACAAAUGAAUUCAAUAUUUCAUUUCAAAUUAACAAAUCUUUACAGCAAAUCACGGCCAGCGUGCAGAGGUUCGGAGAAAUAAAUGUCAGUUCUGAUCCAUGUGAUUAUACCAUUCAGAGACGGAAGGAGAGAGAAGCCCAGAUUAGGGUAAUACCGUCAACCAGAAAUAUCGACAACCUAACUUUGACACUACAGAAACGUACCGAUACAUCGUUGUCAAAUGUCCAAGGCUGCUCACUGCUUCCUGGAGGUAGGAUGGUAUUCUCCUGUUGUGGACAAGAAAGGAAUACAAAUGAUUAGUCUUAGUGAUGAAUCAAUUACCAAUGUUAUCAGUAACAAACUUCCUUACAGUGCGUACGUUACAACAUUCGGUAACAAACUGUUCUACACAGACAUUGGCAACCACAGUGUAACCUGUUGUAAUUACCAUGGUAACAUACUGUGGACGUUCUGUGAUACAAGUGUUCUGCAGUAUCCUCUCGGUAUAUCUGUAGACAAUGAUGGUAACGUGUUUGUAGUGGGAUAUGUUACUCAUAAUGUUGUCGUCAUCUCUCCUGAGGGAAAACACCACAGACAACUUUUAUCAAGUGAAGACGGACUGAAAUUCCCACAUGUUCUGCACUAUGACAUAUCUACUUAUAGAUUAUUGGUUGCAAAUCAAUCCGAACAUGCGUUCUUGUAUGAAGUUAAUAAAAAUGAUAAAAAAAUGGAAACUGAGACAUUCAACUGUUAAGUAUUCGUUCAAAAACUUCUGUUGAUCGAGAUUACUCACUAUAGUUCAGAUAAACUAUUACUUGACUUUAUCUAAAUUUGUUUACAUUUACAUUCUGCGAUGGAUGUGGUAUUCAUUGGGAAUGAUUCUACUGUUGUUACAUCAAGCGGAACAGAUGUGAUUAAUAUGAUCGACUUUAAGAAACAAAAGCUGAAAAAAUCAAUCAAAAUAAAUUCAGCCAACGACGAAGCUGUAUAAAAACAUGGACAUUUUAUGUAUAGUGCCAGGGAUAUAGGACUUCAGAUGAUUAGUCUUAGUGAUGAGUCCAUUACCAAUUUUUCAGUACUAAACUUUCUGACGAUGCGUAUGUUACAACAUUCGGUGACACACUGUACUACACUGUACUACACUGUACUACACAGACAGUAACAACCAUAGUGUCACCUGUUAUGAUUACCAUGGUAACAUACUGUGGACGUUCUGUGAUACAAAAAUAUUCUGAUUCUCUCACUGGUGUCUCUGUAGACAAUGGCGGUAACGGGUUGUGUGAUAUCUUACUCAUAACGUAGUCGUCAUCUCUGUUGAUGGCCUCAGUUACCCAAAUGUUCUGCACUAUGACAAAUCUACCAAUAAAUUGUUAGUUGCAAAUGCAAGAAAUGAAGUGUUCUUGUAUGAAGUUAAAUGACGUUUUGAUGGUUCAAGUAUUCGUUAUCAUUAAAUGUAUGUAACAUUGUUUAUUAAAUUUCUUUUUUAUACACCAUGUUCUUCUUACACAUGAUUCCCUGAAACAACAAGUCAGACAGGAAAGUACGCUAAGUAUUUAAAAAAAAUUAACAGUACUGAGGUCAUUUAGAUUAGAUUUUAUAUGGAAAAUUUAAAAGAUUAAUAAAGAAAUAUCAUUGAGACGAAAACAGAGAGAUGAAGGUUACACGUCAAUGAGACAGCAAUCCAACACCUUGAACAAAAAUAUUAUAGAAUUUUCUUAUCCCUGGAUUAGAGUACCUUAGCCGUUUAACUUUUUGGAAUUUUUGAUCCACAAAUACAACAUUCGGAGACAAACUGUUCGACACAAACAAUAACAAUAACACUGUAACUUGUUGUGAUUACCAUUGUAAAAUAAUGUGGACGUUCUGUGAUACAUAUCUUCUUGAGUAUCCAUUCGGUAUCUCUGUAGACAAUGAUGGUAACGUGUUUGUAGUGGGUAGUCUUACUCUCAAUGUAGUCGUCAUUUCUCCCGAUGGACAACGCUACAGACAACUUUUUAUUACGUGACGAUGGACUUGAUUUCCGACAGAUUCUACACUAUUACAUAUCUUCUAAUGAAUUGUUAGUUGCAAAUAAAUCAACAAAAGCGUUUUUGUGUGAAGUUAAAUGAUAAGUUAUUAUAUUACAUAUAAACCACUUGGUAUUAUCUAAACUUGUUUACAUUGAUAUACUCUGUUGAAUAGAACCAGCACUGGUAUUUAUUCAUUCAUUUACACCAAUAUGUCGUUAUUAGUAUGAAAGUGGGUACCCUGUAUUUAUCAGACUUUAAUAACAUAUGGUAAAAUCGCAGAAAGCCCCCCCCCCCGACCCCCCCAAUCCUAAAUUAUUGGAGAGUAUAUCAUUUUGCAUUGACAAUAAUAUCUUGAUGUGAGUGAGGUAACCUUUUUGGACUUAAGUGUAUCUAAUACAAAAACGUCUUAUGCCUUAUUGGUAUUCAACCUUUUUGCAACAAUAAAUUAGACAACUAAGCAAUGCUGUUAAAGAAAAAAAAAAGGAUAUAACAGUAAGGUAAUGAAAUCAAAUUAGGAUUAAUGUUACAGUGAAAGAGGGUUUUCAGCAAAAAACUGUUUGAAACAAAAAUAUUAUAGAUACGAGUACAAUAUAUUCAGUGGUGUUACUAAACUGGUCAAUGGUGUUAUUUUAUCAAAGUGGUCUCACUAUUGACAGAAAAACAAGGAUUUACAGGUGUAUGUUAAGAUUUAAUUUAAAACAAAGUGCUCCAUUCCCGUAUUUUAUAUGUUGUUCCUGGUGCAUGUUUCUACAAUCAAUAUAUUUCAUAAUCCAAAGUUCAGGAAAUUUUUCAAAAAAAUGAUUUUUAUAAGGGUACACCAUGGACACUAUUUUCAUUUACGAUUUACUGUUAUUGUUUUUUACUAAAUUUUCAACAGAAAUAUUUGUUUUCUUUAGCAUAUUAUGCUUAAAGGUAACAUUGUAUAGGGAGAAACUUUUAUAAAUCCUGAAAUCUUGAGAAAGAUAACUCUACUCGUACUAAUUUGUCUUUUGUUUACACCAUUGACUUAAAAAAAAAAUGAGACUGUUUUUGUUUGUUAAAUUUUUCAUUAUAAAACCAACAUACCCCUCCCAAAUCAUUAAAAAAAGUUUGUACGUAUCAAAAUGCAAUGAAAACAUAUAAAUCCUAAAAACAAAUGAUAUAAAUAAUAGUCCUCAUAUCUGAAAGGAUUUAAAGUUAAAAAUAACAGUUGAUUCCAAGGGUUUAAGAAAAUAUUAAGGAUAUUUUUAUAACAUUUCAUACUGUAAACUGUAUAUUAUUGUGUAUCACAAAAUAUUCAUAUAUCAAAUUAUUCAAGUGAUAUUUUGAUACAUUUAGAUAUAUUUGCAUGUCUUUUGACUUAAAAAGACCAAAUAACAUAGUUUUGUAUUGUUUUUUUUAAUAAGGACCCAUAAACGAAACGAUAACAAGGAGAUAUGGUAUUUACGUUGGUAAGACAGCAACAUACCGACUUGAACACAAAUAUUCUAGAUACGAUUAUAAGGAGACAUUAGUCAUACGUUGAUGAGACAGCAACUUACCAACUUGAACAAAAAUAUAACAGAUACGAUUACAAUGAGAAUUGUUUUUUUAUGACAAUUUCAUAUCAAUUUAUCGACCUGAAAAAAAUAUUAUAGAUAAGAUCAAAUAAAGUUUUGGAUAUAGGUCAACGAGGCAGUUACCCAACAAUUUGAAGGAUAUGUCGGUUAUACAUCAACGAGACAGCAACCUAACGACUAGAACAAAUCUAUAAUAGAACAGGAGUACGAAGAAUGGUUAACUCGGGUAUACGUCAGGCAGACAGCAACCCAACGAAUUGAAAUUUUUUUUAUCAAAGAUGUGACUCAAGAUUCAGGGAGAUAUUUGAAAAACUUCAACACUCCACGACUAAAACACAAAUUCUCUAAAAUGGGAAAAAACACGAAUUCAAAUAGGUGUGGGUUGAACGUCAAUGAAACAGCUACCCAAAGACUUGACAAAAACAUUUUAGAUAUGAAUACCAAGAGAUAUGCGGUAUAAUAAUGAGACAGCAACCCAACAAUUUGACAAAAAUAUAAUAUAUAUAAAUACAAAAGAGAUUUUGGAUAUAGACCUCAAUGAAACAGCAACCCAACAAUUAUACCAUAAUAGUAUAGAUAUGAAUACAAGAGGAUGUUAUGAUAUACGCCAUGAGACAACAGUUCUACCACAAAACGAUGAAUAGGUGUCUUUGAAUCUUGCAAUAUGAAUAUAAUAUGUAAAACAACUUUUACAGCGGAUGACCGUGAGGGCAUUGCGGUGUAUUGCUAUCGCCUAGAUUUCCAUUAUGUAAAAUCCGUUUUGGGUUUUUAACCGAUCUAUAAACAUGAUGAAUACGUAGACAUCAUCAAGUGCAUACUAACAUUCAUUAUCGAUUGUUAGAAAUUCAUUUCUUCGAUGAAUACUCAUCAAAUACUUUUUAAAGAAGAUAAAUUGAUAAUAUUGAAAUGUUUUGUUAUAUGUUUAAACAUAUCAGUGAAAAAUCGUUAAUAUCUAUAUGCACACGUAUACGAAAGAAUACUUCAAGAACGUUUACAAUCUUAAGGAACGAUAACUCUGCACGGAUGAUUUAAAACAAUAUUGUGAAAAUACGAACACCUACUCAAAUCCGUUCUAUUAGAAACAUCGAAUUAUUACAGAAGGGUGAUGUAUCUGCUAUGCACUUGCACUGCACUAUUAUUUAUAAAGUAAAAUAGAAUGAUAUACAAAUGCAUGAAAUUUUUAUGUAUACAUGUUACUGUAAUAUACAAGUUUUGAUGUAAUAUAUAACAAUAAGAGUAUACUGAUUUUUAUCACUACAAUAAAGUAGGCAUUACCGUGAGGAGGAAUUCCCUGUCAUUAAAUUAUCAUCCUCGCACGAACUUGUCCAAGAAAAGAACAUAUUUCUACAUUAAUCUCGCUUUCAGGCCGGUCCCAUAUCAGUUAGCUCGUUAGUAUGUUUUGCUUGCCGGUCACAUGUACCCGUCCGUAGUUGCUUAUGCUGCUGCCAGAUCAGUAUAUAUUCUCUAGCAAUCUCGUCAAUAGCCAGACAAAUCUCGUCAGCAUAUGUAUAUGUGUUCCGUCUUACAUCAGAUCCACUGAAAUAAAAUGUAAUUUACAUUCAAUGCCAUUAUAUAUGUUUUUGUUUAAACAAAUAUUCUGUUAUCUUUAUUUCGUCAGAACAAAUCUGUUUAUUCUACACAGUUUGUUUGUUUGGAUGCGCACUGGUGAUUCUCAGACGAAGUUGACAAUUAUCUCUAUAAUUAGAUUUAUUAAAAAAAAUAUGUCAGCUGACUUACAAACAUAAACUCUUCAUCAUGUGACCAUUUACCUUCCCUUUACAAAAGAAAUGGUCUAUUUAUAACACCCAUUAAGGUAUGUUAUUUCUAUCAUUGUUUGGCUGUAUUAUACAGACUAUUCUUUCACAGACAUCUUCAUUAAACUCAAAUAAGAACACAUUUAACUAUAUAAUGUUGAGUUUGUUUACUUUUUGAUUUUAUUUCUAUCAACUUUCGUUUCAUUUCGUUGAUGAGAGAUAUUCAUGAUAUGUUCGAACACGUUGAACAUUUUACUGCAUGUACCAAACAUUGCCAAAUGAAUAUUGCCAAUUUAAUUAACCUGUUUUUGUUGUUCUCUUUGAUAUUUUGUAGAUUUAUUUGUCUUUAUUUUGUUUAUUUGUUUGUUUUAUUGAGAAUAAUAUGUGUAAUACAUUGAUGGCAUACGAUAAAGUUACAGGGGAGGUUAUGACGUUGCUAACGUAAAUUGUUAUUUUCGCGACACAUACUUUUGAUUUUUUAACUCUGUAUGCUAACAUUGCCUAUUUGAAAUUUUAAAAUUGUUUGUAUAUACAUUAAACGACAAAUAUAUGUGACAUAUACAAUUUUCUUACGUCAGACACGCGAAUCAAUGAAUGUGUUUGUAGAUGUUUUUGUGUUCUGUUAAAUUGUUCCUUUGAAAAUUGGUACACGAUGAUGACUGCUGUACCCAUAUUUUGACUAUUUGAUUUAGUAUGUCUUUUUAAUUCACGCAUUAUUGUAAAUAUAACGCAAUUUGAUGAGACUUUCAUCAAAGUGAGACAGUUAGGUUUAAUCCACCAUUUUCUACAUUUGAAAAUGCCUGUACCAAGUCAGGAAUAUGACAGUUCUUGUCCAUCCGUUUUUGAUGUGUUUUGUUAUUUGAUUUUGUCAUGGACUUUUCGAUUAAAUUUUUAGUAGUUCAGUAUUUUUGUGAUUUUACUUUUUAUUGGGAAAAGAUGCAGUUUUCGGCUGUCUUUUAUCAUUUAAACUGAUUUAACUUGAAAACAAUCUUUUUUAAAAUGACAUUAAGUUUGGUUACGUAAUAAGAUUAUGUGUACCAAUGUUCAUGAAAACGUAAAUAGUGGCAUUUUUUUUAAUUUACUACUGCUGAUUAAUAUGCAGCAAAAAAUGACAGUUUUUCCAACAUUCAUGAAAAUUUGAUAAAGGAGUAGGUCCAGUAAGAGCCCUUCUUGGCCCCAAAAUAUAGCAGUUUUACAAAAUUGAUUAAGAGUAAACUUUUAGUUAUUUAUUGAACAGUAAUGCUUCUGCUACAUAAAUAUUGGUUAUUUUUUACUAUACAAUGAACAUAUAUCGGGUACUAGCACCUUAAAGUCAUGCUAAAUUACUGAAAUCUUAUCAAUUCUAGCAUUUUAUUUAAGUUUAGACGGUUUUCGUGUAAAACGGAAGUGGCCGCAUUCGUGUUCAUCCUUAAUAUUGAAAUGGAAGUUGUAUUUUAUGAUAAUACAUAACAUAUAUAAAGGUUGAGGAUGAACACGGAUGCGGCCACUAUCAUUUUUGAUAAAAACCGUCUGAAAAGUGCCAUUUUUCGGCAUAUUUGGUUGAUUUGUCAUAUUUGAGCUUGAAUCAGAUCGUCUUUAAUGACUAAAUCAGUUCAAAUCUUUCACAUAAACUUAUUGAUUCAACUGAAAUAGACACUAAAGUGUUUAAAAAGUGGUUAAAAUCUUUUGUCAGAUGAACCUGAAAUUUGAGGCCAAAAUCGGUCCUUACCGGACCUACUCCUUUCAGUUAUUUGUAAAAAUGAAAUGUACACAUUUAUGCAAUAUUUAUAUAACACAUAAACUACAAAUAAUCUAACACAAAACAGAUCGUGUUUAUUUUUUGAAACAAAAAGGGUUUGUAUUUCAAUCGAAAGGAAAAAUACGUCCACAAAUCCGUAUUCUAAGGAAAUAUCUGAAAUUUGAACCUUAAUUUACUCAAAAAGUAGCACAUGGAGGUAUAUAUUUUAUUACAUAUACUGACCGACUUUAGAAACGCAACACUUGGCUAUGUUUUUUGUUAUUUUUGAAUGAAUGUGUCACCGUCAAAAGCGAUGACUGCCUGUUACAAACGCCAAAAUGACAUGUUUUGGGUUCUGUUUUACGCCUUCUGAUUUUGCAUUUGUUCAACCCAUUAAUUGGUUUUGGCAAUUAUGCGGUUGGAACUUGAGGGCUUUUCCUUCAGUCGACUCUUUGGCAAUUCAGUUGACGGGAAACAUUUAUGGAAUAAAUCUGUACGCAAUGGCAGUCGGCAAGAUUAUCACUUGACGAUGCGGCCGUAAACAUGUCUGGCAAAUGACGUUGCGUAAUCAAAUUCUGUUGAUGUUCCGUUGUCAAUACACUUUGAUUUGUUCAUUGAUGGCCAGCAACAAAUUUUGUCUACUUGUAUCGUUGUCGGAAGGAGAGUUAGACGAGUUUCUGAAGUCAUACAGUAUGGUUGCAGCACGUUUAUGUUUUCUUGUUUGCAGUAUUCCUAAGGGCUGAAUCAGUUUUUUAUUUCUCAGUCUUGGCAAUAUGGAGAUGCAACAUUUUUCAACUGGUUUAAGUGAGGCAAAGGAUUUAAAGAACUGUUUCAAAAAAGGAAAAAAAAACCUGAAACAAUCUUUCAUGGGUCUCAAAUUUUGCUUUAAGAAAUUCGUGCGACUUAAAAAAAUCGGUAUGUACAAUAACCACAGGUAAGUCAGAUGUUGUUUUUUUUGUAAAGAGAAAGAAGUAUGGUAAGCAUGAAAAGUAGUUGUAAGAGAAUCAAACAAGAUUUGGUAAAAAAAAGAUUCAACAAAACGAGUGUUGCGUAUUUAAAGUCGUUAUGUAUAUUUGAUUUAAUCAGGUUAAAAAUAGCCUACAUGCACAUGUUCAUCAAAAUUUAAAUACGGGAUCAAAACUGUAUCGAAUGCCCUUAAAUGGCAUGUAUACUGAGUGUAAAAAGAUUAGCAACAUAUAUUUUUAUUACAAAAACUUGCAAUAAUAAAAAAAAAAAUGAAAAAAACAAAACAUUAUAUGAUAAUAUAUUAAACCUUUUCGUUUAUUAAGUUUGUUACAAUUAUUUAUUUAUUUUUAUUUUUGUUUUUUGUAGUAAAGUUAAUUUUUGAAACAUGAAACUUUUUUGUUUCUCAGUAUAUAAUCAAAGUACGCGAAGAGUAAAGUGAUUUGUUCUUGCAAAUAUUAAAUUUUACAUUCUGAAGUAAACCAGACUGCGCCCGUCGUGUUCGACAUUUUUGCACCAUUCACAAAGACUUUUGGACUGUAACUUUUUGAACUAGGUAGUAAAAUUCUUUCUUAGCUUGUCGAAAGUGUGACUAUUUAGAAAAUAAAAACAACUGUUGUUUCAAAAGCGCUUUUCUGGAUUAACCGUCAUCAGGAACGCUAAAAGCAGAAUAUUUUAAUUCCAAAGAUAUAUAAAACCGAAACAGUUAAUUAAAAGCACUGAUAAAUGAAAAAAAGAUAAUUAAAUAGUAGCCAAACCCUUAAAAGUCAUAUGAAAAAUCAAAUUACUUUUUUUAAUUGUUUGCUUCCAGUUAACUAUUUGCCAAUAUGUUUUCCAUAUGCAGUGAAAUCAGCGUGACACUUCUCGUAAAACAUUCGGUGAUCGCAAUUACGUAUGGACCUAUCAUUUAAAUAGAUAAUUAUCUUAUUGUACGUGUUAUACACGUGCUCAAUAUCCAGGUUUCUAUGAUGAUUGUUUACUACAAAGGUGACAAUUGGUAAACUACGGCUUCAAACAACGGAAAUUAAUGAGCUGCCAUAUUUCCCAUUAUAACAAACCGAAAGAUUUUUUUUUACAAUUAUACGAUAUGGAUGCGUAAAAAUAUGAUAAAAUCGUGCACAGAAGACUAAGUUUAUCAUAUAUACAGGCCUUGGUUUAAGAAAUGGAUAAACAUUAUUUUUCACCAAUCACCAGUCACUCGUUUUAUAUGUGAUAUGACUUUAAAAGCAAACUUUUUCUGAGAAGGUUGAAAGUUUAAACCUAGUUUUUUUUUUUUUAUUUAUUUCAAAUUUAUAAUGGGCAUAUUCAGAAAGGCUUGUUAUUAAUCAUGCCAGACUAUUGAGCUGAUGAUAAUUUGGAAGACUCAUAGUCCACAAGCAGAGGAAUAGACCUAGUGCUGUAUAAAAAAAUUAAAACAACACGUUGUAUAUUUAAAGCGUCCGCGGCGCUUUUUUUAUUUACCUUCUUUAGGAACACGCAAAGUUCAUAUCGCGUUUUUGCGCCUGUCACAAUUCAGGAUCCUGUGGCUUUUGUAUGUCUUGUAUUUUCUAUUUUUUUAAUUUUAGUAUGACAUCAUUUUUACUAAAGUAGAACACAUUUUUAUUAAGGGGCCAUCUGUGUCAGAAUAACGUGUAUGUGGGGUAAAACGACACGUUUUACUUUAAGACUGUAACAUUUUGAACCAAGUCGUAACAAUCAUCAUAUCUUGUCGAUCUUAUAUAGGGCAAGGUUCAUGUUACCAAUAAAUUGUUUUUGUUAUAGCCGUGCGUUUUCUCUUUUGAAUUGGUUCAUAAUUUUUUUUAAUGUAAUCCUUUUUUAUUUCAAGUAGACGCAAGGACAAGAAAAUGAUAUUCCAUUGUCGUUGCGAGCAUAUCGGUGCCAGACUGGUGCUCCUGUAAUGUUAAAGUGGAAAUAAGGCCGAGAAAAUUAUCUUCCAUUGUAGUUUCAAAAAUACCUUAUGGUACUAGGGUGUUUUUCCUUUGUACUUCAAGUAGAACUAAGGUUGAGAAAAAAAAUCAUUUUAGUUUCAGACAUAUCAGUAGUGCUUAUCUCAUAUCUCUUCGUAGUAGAAUUACAAGAAAGUUCAGAAAAUAUAUUGAUACAAGGCUGGUGCUCCUUCGUGAGGUCGAUAAUAUGAUUCUGUCUCUUUUUGUAUCUUGUGAAGAGUUGUCUCACUGGCAUUCGUACCACAUGUGAUUAUUUAUAAAUAUUAAACUCGUGACUUGUUUAAAUAUUCCACGUGGAACCUUUAAAAGAUGAUAGUUUUUUUUUAUAAUCGUAAAUUAACAAGAAUAUGAAAUGGGUAAUAGAAAAAAAAAAAUCAUGAAAUCGUUUCCAUCGCUGAGUACGAGAAAUUACCGACCGAAGUCCUGAAAAUCGCUCAAAUCUGCAAAUUACACAAUGAAAAAUACGAGCUUUUCUGUAGAAAACACGACUGUCCGUGCUGUAAGAAAUGUGUGAAAUCUCACAACGAUUGUAAGGGUUUAACCGAUAUUAAUGAAAUCACAAAAAAUGUAAAACCUUCAAACGCCUUUUAUGAAAUCGAACAAACCCUGCUUGAAGUCACCGAGAAUUUUAAACAACUCAGCGAUAACCGGAAAGAAAAUUUGAACUCGCUUCGAGACAAGAAAAGAGAAAUUGAAGCCGCAAUAACAAGAACCAGAAUCAAAAUAAACGACCAUCUUGAUAAACUUCAGGAUGAUUUUAUGAAAGAAUUAAUGGCAGUUGAACAAAAAGAAAGCAGCAAAAUACAAAAAUUAUUGACUACCCUGAUAAAGAAGGAAAAAGAAAUCAGUGAGGUACAAGAAAACAUUGCUAGUAUUAAACAGCAUGCGUCCGAGCUUCAAACAUUUUUA